rnacentral:rRNA from 1 species
UACGUAGGGGGCAAGCGUUGUCCGGAAUUAUUGGGCGUAAAGAGCGCGUAGGCGGUGAUCUAAGUUGGAGGUAAAAGGCAUGGGCUCAACCGAUGUAUGCCUCCAAAACUGGGUGACUUGAGAGCAGGAGAGGGGAGUGGAAUUCCCGGUGUAGCGGUGGAAUGCGUAGAGAUCGGGAGGAACACCAGUGGCGAAGGCGACUCUCUGGCCUGCAACUGACGCUGAGGCGCGAAAGCGUGGGGAGCAAACAGG